GUUGCUCCAAGAUUGGGCCAAAGUCGACGGUGGUAGUGAGCCCAAUUGGAUGUGAGGUUCCACCAUGCUCAACGGUGGUGCUAUGAAGGUGGCUAGGUCCGGCCAUGGGGCCUUGAGACGGUACGACGGCGGCGGAGGCCGAUACGGUGGUUCCAGUCACACGGGGUGGCUGUUGAGGGUUCAUGGAGGCGAGAGGUGGUGGGGCCGCCAUGUCGAUCGCAGGAUCGUGGGAGGAGUAGCUUUGGGCAGUCACGGAUUGAGCCAUAGCGGCGGUUUUGCUCCUCGUGCGCUUGCUUCCAACCAUGGUUGUUUGGAAGGCUUCGG
rnacentral:lncRNA from 1 species